rnacentral:rRNA from 1 species
AUGAGGUCAUCGGCUGCCAUCCUCUUGCUCCUCGCCGUCGUUGUCGCCGGCGCGGGCCCGGCGUCCGCGUUUGGAUCCGAGAAGCCGCCGACCGUAGCUGUUGGCGUCGUCAUGCCGGAGGAUCCUCGCGGACCGAUGCUCGCGCGCUUCGCGGUGCUGGUGUACAGCCUGAGCCGGAAUGCCAAGCUGACGUACGCCGGCGUCUCCGGCGUUGACCAGCGCCCCGACAAGGGCGGCAUCAGGUACCAGAUGGUGAUCACCGCCGUCGACGCCGGCGGCGCCACAGCCAAGUACCGGGCGGUCAUCUGGGGAGUCCCUGAGACCUCGCGGUGGACGCUUCUGCAGUUCAAGCGCGUAAACUGA